AGGACGAACGCUGGCGGCGUGCUUAACACAUGCAAGUCGAACGGUAAGGCCCUUCGGGGGUACACGAGUGGCGAACGGGUGAGUAACACGUGGGUGACCUGCCCCUUACUCUGGGAUAAGCCUGGGAAACUGGGUCUAAUACCGGAUAGGACUUCAUGCUGCAUGGUGUGGGGUUGAAAGUUUUUCGGUGGGGGAUGGGCCCGCGGCCUAUCAGCUUGUUGGUGGGGUGAUGGCCUACCAAGGCUUCGACGGGUAG
rnacentral:rRNA from 1 species